rnacentral:rRNA from 1 species
CCUACGGGUGGCAGCAGUGGGGAAUAUUGCACAAUGGGGGAAACCCUGAUGCAGCGACGCCGCGUGAGUGAAGAAGUAAUUCGGUAUGUAAAGCUCUAUCAGCAGGGAAGAAAAUGACGGUACCUGAGUAAGAAGCCCCGGCUAACUCCGUGACAGCAGCCGCGGUAAUACGGAGGGGGCAAGCGUUAUCCGGAUUUACUGGGUGUAAAGGGAGCGUAGGCGGCAGUGCAAGUCUGGAGUGAAAGGCGGGGGCUCAACCCCCGGACUGCACUGGAAACUGUACGUCUGGAGUGCAGGAGAGGUAAGUGGAAUUCGUGGUGUAGCAGUGAAAUGCGUAGAUAUUAGGAGGAACACCAGUGGCGAAGGCGGCUUACUGGACUGUAACUGACGUUGAGGCUCGAAAGCGUGGGGAGCGAACAGGAUUAGAUACCCGAGUAGUC